rnacentral:lncRNA from 1 species
CUCCCUCUUUCCUUUUUUCUUUUCUUAUCCAUUUCCUUGUUUCUCUAUGUCAUUCAUGAUGGGAUUGUGAUGGGAUAGGACAAUGGGGAAAGAUAGAUGUCAAUGCAUGCACCAGGCUUAAGCGGUUCAGUAGAAAUCAUGAAGCAUAUGAACGCAUGCUGGAUAGCGCAUAGCCGAGGGACAGUGUCAUAUAAUCGAGUCUAAAGCUGGGCACAUAGACAGCCGCACAUGGGUGCAUAAGGAUCGUUUGGGCACCAUCUGAGGUUUGGCGAG